UUAUUUGAGAGUUUGAUCCUGGCUCAGGAUGAACGCUGGCGGCGUGCCUAACACAUGCAAGUUGAGCGAUUUACUUCGGUAAAGAGCGGCAGACGGGUGAGUAACGCGUGGGUAACCUACCCUGUACACACGGAUAACAUACCGAAAGGUAUGCUAAUACGGGAUAAUAUAUUUGAGAGGCAUCUCUUGAAUAUCAAAGGUGAGCCAGUACAGGAUGG
rnacentral:rRNA from 1 species